UAGUAUCAGCGUGCCAGCCGCCGCGGUAAUACAGAGGAGCCAAGCGUUGUCCGGAUUGACUGGGCGUAAAGCGCACGCAGGCGGACGCGCGCGUGGGGUGUGAAAUCUGGCCGCUUAACGGCCAGGCGCCAUCCCAUACGGCGUGUCUGGAGUGAUGCAGAGGUCGGUGGAAUUGCCGGUGUAGUGGUGAAAUGCGUAGAGAUCGGCAGGAACACCCAGGGGGAAACCAGCCGACUGGGCAUCUACUGACGCUGAGGUGCGAGAGCGUGGGGAGCGAACCGGAUUAGAUACCCGGGUAGUCCACGCCGUAAACGAUGGCCACUCGGCCUUUGGUGGCGGAAUCUCCGUCGCUGGGGGCCUUAGCUAACGCGGGAAGUGGCCCGCCUGGGAACUACGAGCGCAAGCUUAAAAACUCAAAUGAAUUGACGGG
rnacentral:rRNA from 1 species